rfam:Otolemur garnettii contig105624, whole genome shotgun sequence.
ACCAGACGCAGUAGCCGGCACCUGUAGUCCCAGCUACUCUGGAGGCUGAGAUAGGAAGAUCCCUUGAAUCCAGUUCUGGCUGUAGUGCGCGUGCCAGGUGUCCUCUCUAAGUUCGGCAUCAGUAUGGUGACCUCCCGGGAGCUGGGGGCCCUAAGGAGGGGUGAACUGGCCCAGGUCACAAACAGAGCAGGUCAAAAAACUCCUGUGCUGAUCAGUAGUGGGUCGUGCCUGUGAAUAGCCACUGCGCUCCAGUCUGGGCAACAUAGCGAUACCUCGUCUCUU